ACAGACUCAACGUUCCACACUUCGCAUCUAUAGCUUUCGGUCUCCAUUCUCAUCUACUGGUUUCCAGUGAGAUGAUCUCUAAUUCCAACUGGAUUUAAAAGAUCUUAGUAUUUUUUUUUUGUGUUUACAAUUUUUUUCCUAUUACCUAAUACAUAUUUAAUUUUUUGAUUUGAUUCAUUGGUAUAAUGGGUGUUAAGGGAUUUGUUGAGGGAGGUAUUGCUUCGAUUAUUGCUGGGUGUAGUACUCACCCACUUGAUUUAAUCAAAGUUCGUAUGCAGCUUCAAGGAGAAACCCCAAUUUCAGCUCCGGCGACUGUUCACAAUCUCCGUCCAGCACUUGCUUUUCAUACUGCUAAUCAUACGAUUCAUAUUCCGGCGCCGUCGGUGGUUGCUCAUGCUCCACCGCGUGUAGGACCGGUUGCUGUUGGUGUUAAGAUUAUUCAACAAGAAGGUGUUGCUGCUUUGUUUUCCGGUGUAUCAGCGACUGUUCUCCGGCAGACGCUGUACUCUACCACCAGGAUGGGUUUAUACGAUAUGCUGAAGCAGAAAUGGACCGAUCCAGAUACUAACAUCAUGCCUUUGUCGAAGAAGAUCGUUGCCGGAUUAAUCGCCGGCGGGAUCGGAGCUGCCGUUGGUAAUCCCGCCGACGUAGCGAUGGUUCGCAUGCAGGCUGACGGCCGGCUUCCGAUCUCUCAACGCCGCAACUACAAAAGCGUGAUCGAUGCAAUUACUCAGAUGAGUAAAAGCGAAGGGGUAACUAGCCUGUGGCGCGGUUCAUCUCUUACCGUGAACCGCGCCAUGCUAGUUACCGCAUCGCAGCUAGCAUCGUACGAUCAGUUCAAAGAGACUAUCCUCGAGAAAGGGUUAAUGAAGGACGGGCUCGGAACUCAUGUGGUUUCGAGCUUUGCUGCUGGGUUUGUGGCAGCGAUAGCGUCUAAUCCAGUGGAUGUGAUUAAGACACGUGUUAUGAACAUGAAAGUCGAGCCGGGAAUGGCCCCACCGUACAGUGGGGCCAUUGAUUGUGCAAUGAAAACUAUCAAAGCUGAAGGGCCAAUGGCAUUGUAUAAGGGAUUUAUUCCUACAAUCUCAAGGCAAGGUCCAUUUACUGUGGUGCUCUUUGUCACACUGGAACAAGUCAGGAAAAUGCUUAAAGAUUUUUAAUGAUGAUGACGAAGAAAAAAAAAUUAAUUAAAUUAGUAUUAAGGAUUUAAAAAAAAAAGUUUAGUUGAAUUUAUGUUUUUUAAGUUUGGGAAAAGUGAUACUAUGUUGUGUUCUAAUAUUAUUAUUUAUGGUUACUUCUAUAUGAAAAAACGAGUUCUUG
rnacentral:misc_RNA from 1 species